ensembl:lncRNA
GUUCUUUUGCCAGCACUGACAAAGGUCUGGUUGUCAGUGAUACCUUUACAGCUAAAUUUACUCCAGAGUGACAGGAACAGGUGCACCUCGGCCUGCCAGACACUUGUGCACAGGGAUCACGCAUCUUACGGCUUGACGAUCAAGGGGGGAAAGCCUGGGUCUUCAUAGAAAAGGAGAGGAGGCAAACGCAGCCCAAACUGGGGGGUUUCUCUUCAAAGCCAGCUGGUCUGGCUUUAUUCUACAGGAAUUUUUUUACCUGUCAGAGUUUGGACAACAAAGCCCUCAGCAGGUGCUGACGGGUACAACUUCCUGGAGAAGCAGAAAGGCACUGAAAACUUUGGAAGAGAAGUUCAUCUAAAGGAGUAACACGAUGAUAGUGAAGUGAGUUGUUGGAGUGGCUGCGUCCUCUGACAGAACAUAGUCCAGGAGAAUUGUGGGACAUGAAGAGGCUGCUGAGGAAGAAAAGGACCUUGAGAGUCACAUCAGUGAAAGGCCAUGAGGAGACAGAGGCACUCAAUAAAGAGCUGUUAUUGAUUUUACAAAUUGCUGCUGGGCCUCUGCCCAGCCCAGUUGCCAUAGAUGGCCGUCAGACACUUGGAAUGACAUCAGGAGAUAAUCUGAGCAGGCUCUGCCCUAAAGAAUUCAAGCUAGCAGGAGACUGAAGAUAUCGAUGUCUUCUUGGCUGACAACAGCAUUCCAAAGGUCAACCAGGGUGAAAAGAGGAUGGACUUGGAGCUUCCAGUGCCUUUUCAACAACCAAGCAGCUAAGAAGUAUAAGGAAGCUUCCCUGAAGGAAAAAAUAAAUAAAGACAAAAGAAGCCUGAAAGUAUCCUAAAGGUGCCAUGGCUAUGAAAGGAAAAUAAGGCAAGCUAUUCCCAUGAAGUCAGAGAAUUUUAGGACUGAUGACAUCUCUACUUUUUCAAGGUAAAACUCACCAACAGUUCUCAUCCUGAACCAAUUCCUACCACUCUGACAACCUACUUCUCCAACAUUUUCUGCUGUGACAGCCCCAGGAUGGGUGAAUAUGGAACUUAUCGGUAUAGAAGUAGAAAUUCUUCAGGAGAAUAAGCAUGGCUAACUUUCGCUGCAGUUUUCCACUUUUCCAGCCCCGUGCGCUACGUUAAAUAGCUGUUUUAAUCCUCGUAACAAAGUUUCGAGAGUAUGUUCCACAUUUUACAGAUGAAGGAACUGAGGCAAAGGGAAGUUCAGAAACUUCUGUAUAAUCCUACAGCCACCACAUGAUAGAGCCAACUGGCUCAGCCACACGGCUUCUUCCUAUGAGACCAGCCUUUUCACUAGGCAGCCAUGGAUGGGUUGAGGCUUCUACCUCAUCUGUAAGCACUUGAAGAAUUAAAAAAUUUUCUCUUAGGUUAUUAGAUUUCAGACAGAAUGAGAACACCUUCUAUCACGAACCACAUGCAAAUCGUAACUUAGGAGAAAGACAAUAAUUCAAAUAUGCAUUGGCUCAGGAGAAAUCCAAGAUUUAAAAAGCAUUUUACUGUUAUUGUUUUAAAAUUAUUUAUCAUUCAUGAGUAUUCUUAUCUGAACGCUUAAGGGUCCUUACUAAGGGUUAACUUAAAAACUAAUUACCAUAAAUGGCCAGAAUUAAUACUGACAUUUCACCUCCAGAUAACAAUAAGAAAUAUAAGGGAUAACCAUGGCAAAAACCAACCAACCAAAUAAAACACUGAAGUUAGAAAGUUUCUGCUUUGUCUCUAAGUCUUUAUGAUAUGUUCUGUCGCCUUAUAUGUCUCAGACAGUGUAAUCUGUAAUGAAGUUUUGUUCAAGUUUUUAACAUUUCUGGUCAAAUGCCGCCUGAGUGAUAUCAGUCUAAGACAUAAUGAAUGGAUCUGAUAAUAUGUUCAUCGAAUUUGAGGAAGAUUAUGCUUUGCUAACAAUUCUCACCUCGUGGAACACCUUUCCUCCCUGACCUUAAGAGUGUUUAGUUCUUACUUUAAAAGGAUAAUUCCAUUUCCUCAGAAUCUGUUAAGUUUAAGUAAGCACAAUGUCAUCCCAAUUAGUCGCUUUCAAAAGGCAUUAUGUGAAUCUGUGACACUACCAAUAAGACAUCUUUAGUUUGGGAGAGAGUGUUAUCCCCCACGCACCUUCUUCUUUAUUAAAUGGGAUUUCUUCCUGGAGGAAUGAUUAGAUAUAUUUCCUCUUGCAAAAGAGCACUUUUUUGUCUAAAAUCUUCUGUCAGGUUACCUUUCUGUAAUUUGCCUAGCCGAUCCCACACAAGGUGCCCCGGGCUGGCACAAAGUGUGGCAGACCCUGUCAGGUGACCUUAGCUUCUUUCCAAAUUUAUGGCAUGAUUUUGGGAUGCAUCUCAACUUCUCUGAGCCUGACUUCCUUUCUCUGUAAAAGAAAAGUAGGUGCUUGUGUGUCUUCCCUAAGACCUCUUUCAGCAGGAAAAUACUGAAAUUCUGACUUUAAGACCUUCCACACCAGUGCCAAGCAAUGCAAAUGCAGCGAGUGUCCUAAAAUUUGGCUGGUAUCAUAAGGGCGCUUCUUUCUUUUUUUCUAACCAGCAUUCACUUAAACUCUAUAGCAGCACAGUCCAGUAGAACUUUAUGCAAUGAUGGAAAUGUUCAACAUCUCAAGUCGAAUAAGGUGGCCACUAGCCGGCCGUGGCUAUUGAGCACUUCAAAUGCGGCUAGUGUAAUUAAAGAACUGAACUUUAAGUUUUAUUUAAUUUUGAUUAACUUAAAGAGCCACUUGCGGCUAGCCGCUGCCAUAUCAGUAGCAGCUUAGAGCUUCAAGAACAUGACAAUACAAACCCGAGCACUCUACGAUGCCUCUGGAGCACAGAUCUUUCGCCCACCCUUGGUACAGCUCCACAGACAGAUCACAGAACAGCACAGGCAUUUGCAUUUAGUGAUGGCAUUUCGGCAAGAGAGCCAGGCACUGCUCUCGCGUGCUAACAAAUAAAGGGGGGUGGAAAGGGAAAGGAAGUUUUGGGGGGUUUUGUGGGUUUUCUCCCUAGUAUCCCAAUUCUCCUUGUAGUUUGUGGCCUUUCCCCAGCCAAGACGCGCACAUAUCCACAGAGGGAGCUGAACUACUAGAGCCAGCGAUUGGCUGUUAGUUUUUAAAAUAAUCCUGUAAACCCUGAGCGCUUGGGCUAUCAAAUCCAGCCACCCGGGACCCGUCCUUUCCUCUAGGCCUGUCAGGUGAAACAUCAGGCAGGCUGGCGCGGGACAGGGGCGGCGGCCGGACCUGCGCGAGCCACUCUCGUUCUCCUAGGCUCGCAAAACGCUCGCAGCACUGCGGGCAGCCUGUGCCGCCGGAGGCGGAGCGCGUGCCAGCGCUUUGUGCACUGUGCGGGGGUGGGUUCAUUAUGUGCCUCGCUCCGACCUCAUGCCCUGCUCUUUGAGAUGGUCUUUCGCCACCCUAGGGGAAACAUCCCCAAGAUCCCCAAACCCGACCAGCACGGCAACUCCCCUGACACAGCCACCGCCCGUUUCCAAAGCCCACCCACCACCGCUGCGCCCUCCUCCCUUCCCCAAGAGACCACCACGCGGCCUCUUCGCAAAGCCACCGGCCGCUUUCCCCCAAACCGUGACCCGACCUUUCUAGACACAACCCGGCACCGCGCCCCCGCCCCUCCCCGCGGCCAGACAGCCCGGCCCUCCCUCCGCGCCCCCAGGCCCAGCAGGCCCCCAGCAAGGCCCCGAGCCGCCUCCUCCUCGCCCGUGGCGCACGCACGUGGCGCACUCACCCCCUACUAGCUGCCUCGGAGCUCUAGAAACACUCCCGGGAGGGAGCCCCCGCCCCCUCAGCACCGUCCGCCCGAAGAAAAGUGGGUGGGGGGAAGUGGACACGGGCAGAAAAAGGAGUACAUAGGUGGUGAGAGCGGUGUUGCAGGGGAGGCCCGGCAAUUAACUGGAUGGCGUUGCGGCUGUUGCGCCUCUGCUGAACGCCUAGCCGGCGCGGAUUCACUUUCCACACAAAUCAUCUGGAGGGAUUGUUGCUGCCUGCAAUCAAUAACUCAGCGGAGUGAGCUGCUGAAACCAGAGGCGUCCCCUGUCUGGGUCUUUAAGGGGCUGUCCGGACUGAAUCCCAGCCCUUUGCUUCGCAGACAAAGAAGUGGGCACCCAAACGGAGGACGAGAUUUUUAACCCCCACCCCCACCCCGAUCCCCGGUAAAGAUUUUUAAAAAUUAAAGGGCACACACGUAGAGAGGUAUCUAGAAGAAAUAGUUAAAAGGGGAAGUCUGAAAAUCCAUUCUUUGAAUUGAAGGUUUCUGUGAUAUUUUAAGAAAUGGGAUAGAAUCAAUGUUCCAAUGAACAUUUAACAAUUUUUUAAGUAAAGGUAAAGUCCAUUAAAUUUAGCCGUGCAUAUGGAUACUUUUAAGUCAGCCACACAUUCGCAAGCAAAUUACUGCUCAAGCCUUAUUUGGGCAUACUGAUCCAGGAAAAGGAAGAAAUGUAUCAUAAUUUGUAGUGGCAUUUUUAAAAGCCUUAACAUAUCUUUCAGACAUUAUUUCACGAAGAUUGCACUUCUGUAAGGUGAAAAGGCCCUGGGAGAUGUGUAUCAUGAUUCCCACGUAGACUGGAAAGCCACGCAGAGCUGGGAGAAAGGGAAUUCACUAGGUCUCCUGAUACUGACUACCGGUCACCAAGUUUAGACUAACUCAGUGUGAGCCUGAGCUUAAAAGACUGAACUCAGCUAAGACUCCUAAAAUAAAAGUGGCCCAAAUCCUUCCUUUCGCCUUGACUCUGAAGCAACUUAAAAAUAAAAAUAAAUCUUAAGAGAUGUCAACCCAAAUAUAGAGGCUUUAUACAUCUUAAUGAGUCUUUACUAUGAAACGUCUUCUUGCUAAUACAAAUGGGAAAAUGGAUAUUGACCAUCAUGGUCUGAUACCUUUCAAGGUUGGGAGGACCAGACCCAUUCUGAAGCCAAGGAAAAGUUCAUCUGUGGCUCAAAGUCAUAGAAAGCUAGUUUCAAACAGAGAUGAGAACACAGGAGACUUCGUCUGUGCUUGAUACAGUUCAAUACUGCUUCAAAGGAUAGGGUAUUAUUGUAAUAGAAUUCGUAAAGGGUACUGAAUCCAUAUCACUAAUCUCAAAAGUAUUUAAAAUGGGCCUUUAGGCAAC